rnacentral:rRNA from 1 species
ACACGACUACAUUAGAUACCCGCGUAGUCCUAGCCGUAAACGAUACUCGCUAGGUGUCGGCCACGGUGCGACCGUUGUCGGUGCCGUAGGGAAGCCGUGAAGCGAGCCACCUGGGAAGUACGGCCGCAAGGCUGAAACUUAAAGGAAUUGGCGGGGGAGCACAACAACGGGUGGAGCUUGCGGUUUAAUUGGAUUCAACGCCGGAAAUCUUACCGGGACCGACAGCAACAUGAAGGCCAAGCUGAAGACUUUGCCGGAUUAGCCG